rnacentral:lncRNA from 1 species
CGACACCCCCCUGUGCAGUAUAGUAAGCCUGUCUGUCGUAUGCUGCGACGUGUCCAUAUCCAGCAUCUGUUACACCACUGCUUGGCGGCCUUACCACCUGUUGUGGUAUCGUUGAUAUCGGCUGGUGUUGAGUGGGCGGAGGUUGAGGUUGGGCCACCAUGUUGUAAACGGGUUGCUCCCGGUAAACUUCAUGAGGCAUUCUCUGUAAGUUGGUGUAGUAGCCUUGACCGGCUUGUCCGGUUACUGGUCGAACCAUUUGUGGUGCUGCUGAUGCUGAUGCAGGUGCUGGAGCUGGAACUGGUGGAGGUGCGUGAUAGAGGUUGGCCGGAGCCGAUCCUGGAACUGGAGCUGGG